rnacentral:rRNA from 1 species
AUUGAACGCUGGCGGCAUGCCUUACACAUGCAAGUCGAACGGCAGCACGGGUGCUUGCACCUGGUGGCGAGUGGCGAACGGGUGAGUAAUAUAUCGGAACGUACCUUAUUGUGGGGGAUAACGCAGCGAAAGCUGUGCUAAUGCCGCAUAAUCCCUAAGGGGGAAAGCGGGGGACCGUAAGGCCUCGCGCAAUUAGAGCGGCCGAUACCUGAUUAGCUAGUUGGUGAGGUAAAGGCUCACCAAGGCAACGAUCAGUAGCUGGUCUGAGAGGACGAUCAGCCACACUGGGACUGAGACACGGCCCAGACUCCUACGGGAGGCAGCAGUGGGGAAUUUUGGACAAUGGAGGCAACCAUGAUCCAGCCAUGCCGCGUGAGUGAAGAAGGCCUUCGGGUUGUAAAGCUCUUUUGUCAGGGAAGAAACAGCAGCUCUAACACAGUUUGCGAAUGACGGUACCUGAAGAAUAAGCACCGGCUAACUACGUGCCAGCAGCCGCGGUAA